rnacentral:lncRNA from 1 species
UGCCUUGUAGUUUUGUAGCUAUUGGCAUUUUAGUAGCAUUUUUUCUGCUGAUUCAAGCCUGUCCCUGGACAUAUUAUGUAUAUGGUUUGUUGCCACUGCCAAUAUGGUAUGCGGUUCUAAGAGAAUUUCAAGUUAUUCAGGACCUUGUUGUAUCAGUGUUGACCUAUCCUCUGAGCCAUUUUGUUGGGUACCUGUUAGCCUUUACCCUGGGAAUUGAAGUAUUAGUUCUCAGUUUUUUCUACCGCUAUAUGCUUACCGCUGGACUUACUGCCUUUGCAGCUUGGCCAUUUCUCACUCGGCUGUGGACUCGAGCAAAGAUGACCUCACUGAGUUGGACUUUCUUCUCUUUGCUCCUGGCAGUGUUCCCACUGAUGCCGGUUGUAGGUCGAAAGCCAGACAUCUCUCUAGUGAUUCUCAAAGAGUGUAUUUGAAGCAUCACAACCAACCAUCAAGCAUUUUUCUGGGGAUUCCUGCUUUGCAUUCUUCUUAGGAUGGGUGCAGGCUUGCUGGUUCUUCUGUUAUCCCUGUGUGUUGUAACAUCUCUCAUGAAAAGAAAAGAUAGCUUUAUAAAGGAAGAGCUAU